UACGGGGGGGGGCAAGCGUUGUUCGGAAUUACUGGGCGUAAAGGGCGCGUAGGCGGUUUGCUAAGUCGGAUGUGAAAACUCUGGGCUCAACCCAGAGCCUGCAUCCGAAACUGGCAGGCUAGAGUUCUGGAGGGGGUAGCGGAAUUCCUGGUGUAGCGGUGAAAUGCGUAGAUAUCAGGAGGAACACCGGUGGCGAAGGCGGCUACCUGGACAGAAACUGACGCUGAGGCGCGAAAGCUAGGGGAGCAAACAGG
rnacentral:rRNA from 1 species